GCGGUGAUGACUUUCCAAAGCACGCGUUAGACUGCUGAUGCGAGUGAUGCGACCUGGAGUCUGAGC